AUUGAACGCUGGCGGCAUGCUUUACACAUGCAAGUCGAACGGUAACAGCACUUCGGCGGCUGAUGAGUGGCGAACGGGUGAGUAAUACAUCGUAACGCGCCUCGUAGCUGCCGAUAACUACUCGAAAGAGCAGCUAAUACCGCAUGAGAUCUAAGGAUGAUAGCUGGGGACCUUCGGGCCUUGCGCUACUAGAGCGGCUGAUGGCAGAUUAGGUAGUUGGUGGGAUAAAAGCUUACCAAGCCGACGAUCUGUAGCUGGUCUGAGAGGACGACCAGCCACACUAGGACGGAGACACGGCCCGGACUCCUCCGGGAGGCAGCGGUGGAGAAUGUUGGACAAUGGGCGGGGGCCUGGUCCAGCAAUGCCGCGUGGAGGGUAAGGGCCUUCGGGUUGUGAACUUCUUUUGUACGGAACGAAAGGCAAUCUGCUAAUACAGGGGGGUCAUGACGGUACCGUAAGAAUAAGCACCGGCUAACUACGUG
rnacentral:rRNA from 1 species